GAACGCUGGCGGCGUGCUUAACACAUGCAAGUCCGAACGGUGAACACGGAGCUUGCUCUGUGGGAUCAGUGGCGAACGGGUGAGUAACACGUGAGCAACCUGCCCCUGACUCUGGGAUAAGCGCUGGAAACGGCGUCUAAUACUGGAUAUGUGACGUGACCGCAUGGUCUGCGUCUGGAAAGAAUUUCGGUUGGGGAUGGGCUCGCGGCCUAUCAGCUUGUUGGUGAGGUAAUGGCUCACCAAGGCGUCGACGGGUAGCCGGCCUGAGAGGGUGACCGGCCACACUGGGACUGAGACACGGCCCAGACUCCUACGGGAGGCAGCAGUGGGGAAUAUUGCACAAUGGGCGCAAGCCUGAUGCAGCAACGCCGCGUGAGGGACGACGGCCUUCGGGUUGUAAACCUCUUUUAGCAGGGAAGAAGCGAAAGUGACGGUACCUGCAGAAAAAGCGCCGGCUAACUACGUGCCAGCAGCCGCGGUAAUACGUAGGGCGCAAGCGUUAUCCGGAAUUAUUGGGCGUAAAGAGCUCGUAGGCGGUUUGUCGCGUCUGCUGUGAAAUCCGGAGGCUCAACCUCCGGCCUGCAGUGGGUACGGGCAGACUAGAGUGCGGUAGGGGAGAUUGGAAUUCCUGGUGUAGCGGUGGAAUGCGCAGAUAUCAGGAGGAACACCGAUGGCGAAGGCAGAUCUCUGGGCCGUAACUGACGCUGAGGAGCGAAAGGGUGGGGAGCAAACAGGCUUAGAUACCCUGGUAGUCCACCCCGUAAACGUUGGGAACUAGUUGUGGGGUCCAUUCCACGGAUUCCGUGACGCAGCUAACGCAUUAAGUUCCCCGCCUGGGGAGUACGGCCGCAAGGCUA
rnacentral:rRNA from 1 species